rnacentral:lncRNA from 1 species
GGGUACAAUUUGUGUGCAAAAAUUAGAGAAUUUGUAGUUAGGGUGAAAAAAUUAUAGCCGUUUGAAGUUAAGCUGUAUAAUUAAAGACAUACUGUUACUCUUUUGAGAGUACGAGGAGUUUUACAACAGCUUUUAAAGAUCGGAAGGUGCAAUUGGAAUGGCGAUUUCAAGGCCUACAUCUUUCAUGAAAGAAUUAUUGCUUUUGG